GACGAACGCUGGCGGCGUGCCUAAUACAUGCAAGUUGAGCGCUGAAGGUUGGUACUUGUACCAACUGGAUGAGCAGCGAACGGGUGAGUAACGCGUGGGGAAUCUGCCUUUGAGCGGGGGACAACAUUUGGAAACGAAUGCUAAUACCGCAUAAAAACUUUAAACACAAGUUUUAAGUUUGAAAGAUGCAAUUGCAUCACUCAAAGAUGAUCCCGCGUUGUAUUAGCUAGUUGGUGAGGUAAAGGCUCACCAAGGCGAUGAUACAUAGCCGACCUGAGAGGGUGAUCGGCCACAUUGGGACUGAGACACGGCCCAAACUCCUACGGGAGGCAGCAGUAGGGAAUCUUCGGCAAGAGACGAAAGUCUGACCGAGCAACGCCGCGUGAGUGAAGAAGGUUUUCGGAUCGUAAAACUCUGUUGGUAGAGAAGAACGUUGGUGAGAGUGGAAAGCUCAUCAAGUGACGGUAACUACACAGAAAGGGACGGCUAACUACGUG
rnacentral:rRNA from 1 species